UCAAAAAUAAGCAUUAACAAAAAAAUUUUUUAAAUGCUUACAAACAACUCUGGGUAAAUUUCUGCUUCUGUAUGCACUUCUCAAUUUCCCCAAGAAGUCCUUUCUUUUCUAAUCAGGAAAGAAGGGAGGACACAGGUGACAUGAUCAAUUAUGUCCUAGAGGCUAAGAUGGCCAGCAAUUCCCUGCCACCUUCACCGGCAACACCUGGCAGAUCCCCUGGAGAACCCUCCAGGUUAGCUGCCUUUGCCCUUCCGAGGGCCCGUCUGCGAAGAUAGCUCCGAUGAUGGUCGGCCUCGAGGCAGAAGCCUCUGGUUUGUCUUUAUUGCCCCCUUAUCAAAAGAAAGUGCUUUUUAGACUCUGAGCUGGCUGGGAAAAGAGUUUCCAGAACCCCGAAGCACUCACCGCAGGGUGUGAAGCAGCCUGACCGUGUGGAGUACUAUGCAGCUGGGAAAAAGGGAAGGCGCUGUUUGUGUUCUGUUACAGAAUGAACCCAAGUGCUUCCUCCUGGGAGGAUGUGAGGUGAUAAAGCGCCACGUGAGGAGGUGACAUGACGGCACUGGAGCGGGCACGUGACUAACGUGGCGUUAGGCUGCGAGUGACCCUCUGAGGAGGCGUUGGGAGGACGACCAUCCGCGCCGGAAAACCCGCGUCGGCUGUAGGCGACUGAACCCACAGCAAGUGAAUUGUGGUGCCACUCUGGAUGCCCCUGUCCCCCUGUGACUCCUCAGUGACCUUCACUCCCCCCUCCCCCCGUGUGGCCAGAGAGCUGUCCAGGUCAUCAGCCUCCUAAGAGCGGGGUGAUGGGUACAGCUGGUGCCGUCCUAAAAAACAUUUUGAGGGAUCCUUCCCCUCCCAUCCCAGGCCCUGUGGUCCUGGCCUGUACGUCCGUAUUGCGUCUCAGAUGCUCUGGGUUUUUAGCUACAACUCCUCUUCAGUUAAUUCUCACCCUUGCGUUUGCCCCUCCGUCCUGGUGUGCCGCACCUUCCAAAGUGACCGCUAGUUUAUCUGCGGGACCAUCGAGCCCAGAAGUGGGCAAGAGGAUCUCCCCUCAGGAGACUGGCUCUGUGGCUUGACAGUAAUAGCUCAGGCUUUGUCUGUUCCUCGCCACCACCUUCAAGAGAAGGUACCAGUGCUGCCCAUUUUACAGACGGCAAAGUUGAGGCCUAAGGAAGUUAGUUAACACGCCUAAGGCUGGACUAGGUCUCAUUGUCCUCCCUCAACUAUGGGGAACCAAGCCAGAGGACGGAGCUGCCGGAACUUGGGAUCGUGCAAGGCCUCGGCACAGAGGAAGAAACGAGAGGCGGCGUAUGGGCCCUGCGUAUCGGAUGUCGGAAGAGGAAGGCCCGAGUGUUUAGAAGCACCAGGCCCACGGGAGUCUUGGGGACUAGCAGCCUUGGGAAGGUUCUGGAAAGCAGCCUACAGCUCUGAAUAGCUCUUGGGAGCAUAAAGACCGAAUCUAGGAUCUCGUAUGCAUUCAGUCGUCUUGUCUCCUGGCUCUCCUCUGCUCUGUGACAGUCUCUGAGUCUUUGUUUAUCAUGAACUUGAUGGAGGAGCACUGGUCCGGUAUUAUGUAGAAUGUUCCUCGUUGUGGAUUUGUCUGGUGUGUUUCUCAUGAUCCGACUGGGGCGAUGGGUGUAGGGGAAGAGACAUCACACAGGGGAAGUACACGCCUCAACACCCCAUCAGAGGGCACGUGAUACCAAAGUGGCUCAUCACUGGUGAUGUUAACCUGCACCACUUGGUCAAGAAAGUGGUUUCUCCGCUGUAAAGUUACCAUUUUCCCCUGUCCAUACUUUAUUCCUAUUUGUUUAAAAUUUACUUACCUAUUUUGAGAGAAAGAGAGAGAGAGAUCAUGAACAGGGGAGGAGCAGAGAGAUAAGGAGAGAGAACGAAUCCCAGGCAGGUGACAGCCCAGAGCCCCAACGCAGGGCUCAAACUCACAAACUGAGAUCAUGACAGGAGCUGAAGUCAAGAGUCAGAUACUUAACCGACUGAGCCACCCAGGCGCCCACCCCACCCCCAUACUCUAUUCUUUAGAGGCAAAUCACUAAGACCUACUCUCAGGGAGUGGAGGAGUGGGGGGUGUUGAACUCUACCUCUUGGAAGCGAAGUAUCUCCAUAUCUUAUUUGGAAUUCUUCUGUACAGA